rnacentral:rRNA from 2 species
AAAACGGAGAGUUUGAUCCUGGCUCAGGAUGAACGCUGGCGGUAUGCUUAACACAUGCAAGUCGAACGGGAUGCUUAGGCAUCUAGUGGCGGACGGGUGAGUAACGCGUGAGAAUCUGGCUCCAGGUCGGGGAUAACAGUUGGAAACGACUGCUAAUACCGGAUGUGCCGAGAGGUGAAAGAUUUAUUGCCUGGAGAUGAGCUCGCGUCUGAUUAGCUAGUUGGUGGUGUAAGGGACCACCAAGGCGUCGAUCAGUAGCUGGUCUGAGAGGAUGAUCAGCCACACUGGGACUGAGACACGGCCCAGACUCCUACGGGAGGCAGCAGUGGGGAAUUUUCCGCAAUGGGCGAAAGCCUGACGGAGCAAUACCGCGUGAGGGAGGAAGGCUCUUGGGUCGUAAACCUCUUUUCUCAAGGAAGAAGAAAGUGACGGUACUUGAGGAAUAAGCAUCGGCUAACUCCGUGCCAGCAGCCGCGGUAAUACGGAGGAUGCAAGCGUUAUCCGGAAUGAUUGGGCGUAAAGGGUCUGCAGGUGGAACUGAAAGUCUGCUGUUAAAGAGUUUGGCUUAACCAAAUAAAAGCGGUGGAAACUACAGAACUAGAGUGCGGUAGGGGCAAAAGGAAUUCCUGGUGUAGCGGUGAAAUGCGUAGAUAUCAGGAAGAACACCGGUGGCGAAAGCGUUUUGCUAGACCGUAACUGACACUGAGGGACGAAAGCUAGGGGAGCGAAUGGGAUUAGAUACCCCAGUAGUCCUAGCCGUAAACGAUGGAUACUAGGCGUGGCUUGUAUCGACCCGAGCCGUGCCGGAGCUAACGCGUUAAGUAUCCCGCCUGGGGAGUACGCACGCAAGUGUGAAACUCAAAGGAAUUGACGGGGGCCCGCACAAGCGGUGGAGUAUGUGGUUUAAUUCGAUGCAACGCGAAGAACCUUACCAAGACUUGACAUCCUGCGAAUCCUGGUGAAAGCUGGGAGUGCCUUAGGGAGCGCAGAGACAGGUGGUGCAUGGCUGUCGUCAGCUCGUGUCGUGAGAUGUUGGGUUAAGUCCCGCAACGAGCGCAACCCUCGUUUUUAGUUGCCAGCAUUAAGUUGGGCACUCUAGAGAGACUGCCGGUGACAAACCGGAGGAAGGUGAGGAUGACGUCAAGUCAGCAUGCCCCUUACGUCUUGGGCUACACACGUACUACAAUGCUACGGACAGAGGGCAGCGAGCCAGGGAUGGCAAGCGAAUCCAGAAACCGUAGCUCAGUUCAGAUCGAAGGCUGCAACUCGCCUUCGUGAAGGAGGAAUCGCUAGUAAUUGCAGGUCAGCAUACUGCAGUGAAUUCGUUCCCGGGCCUUGUACACACCGCCCGUCACACCAUGGAAGUUGGUCACGCCCGAAGUCAUUACCCCAACCGAAAGGAGGGGGAUGCCUAAGGUAGGACUGGUGACUGGGGUGAAGUCGUAACAAGGUAGCCGUACCGGAAGGUGUGGCUGGAUCACCUCCUUUU